CUUGACGACCAUAGAGCAUUGGAACCACCUGAUCCCAUCCCGAACUCAGUAGUGAAACGAUGCAUCGCCGAUGGUAGUGUGGGGUUUCCCCAUGUGAGAGUAGGUCAUCGUCAAGAUUAAAUUCC
rnacentral:rRNA from 1 species